rnacentral:misc_RNA from 1 species
GAAUGUUGCUGGUCCUUAGGGACGUAGCUCGUUCGUAAUACAUUAGCAUCUCUAAUUCGAAAUCGGAUUGACUCAGUGUAAUAGACUAUUCGCUGAGGACACCUUAGGGUGGCCGACCUAGAUACUUGUAGAAGCUUCUAAUUUAUAUAGUCAAUUUUAGAUUAGACCUCAGAUCAGGCAGGAUUACCCGCUGAACUUAA